CGCUUCUCCGGGGUCUCGAGCCGGUCGGGCCCAGCAGCCCGCGCUCAGGGCAGGUGUCACAGCCCCGUUUGCCCACCCACGACCCGUGUCCUCUGGAAACAGCCCAACGACCCCCCGAAGAGUGUCCACCACCUCAAGGGGGAUGGCAAGGUGACGGGGGACACCCGAGGAUGGCCCCACAGGACGGUUGCUCUUUGGUUGUCCCCACACACACCCCUCGUCACAGGAGCCUGAAAUCUGCCUGGAGAGGUGGCGCAGAGCACCCUUCCCUGUGCAGACCCAUAAAUCACCAGCUGAACCAUCAGGACAGAGCCUCCGGCCCCCGCAGAAAAAGCACCUGGAUUUCAUCUUGCGGCAGGUGUCUUAGUCUGUUUUCUGUGGCUGUGACAGAAUGCCUGAGACCAGGUGAUUUUUAAAGAGAAGAUGUUUAUUCAGCCCACAGCUCUCGAAGGUGGAACCGAAGAUCCACUGGGCAGCCCAACCUGGUGAAGGCCAUAACACAGCAGGGGAGGGGAGGACAAGGGGCGCAUGCCAAAGAGAAAGCAAGAGACACUGGGCACUCACACCCCACCACGGCUUCCAGAAAGGCACCCUCCCUCGGAAUGUCCCAGUCACCUCUCCAAGGCUCCACCACCUGUUGGGACUCCUGCCCUGGGAACCAGGGUUCCAACAUGUGAGCGCUGGGGGACACAUUCAGCCAGGGGGUGUCUCUCUGCCUCAUGGGUAAGUCACCUUCCUGAGCCCAAGUGCAUAACUCUUGGGCAGCAUCACUAAGCUCUUUUCUCUCUACCUUUUGUCUUUGUGGUGCUUCUUGAACUCUCUGUAAAGACCACAAAGCUGCCAUCUGAUUCUGCCAGAAAUAAUUUCUGUCUUUGAAAAAAUACGGUUUUGAGAACAUCCGUGCGUCACCUGCUAACAUGCCCCAAAUGGCUCAGGGAUCCUUCUGCUGUUCUGAACCCGCUGGUUGGUGGCAGCACCACCCGACUCUUUUUCUGCCUCUGGAGAGCCAGGGACCAGACCACCGUCCCUCAGGGUGGCCUUGGGGACCCUCUAACUUGCAAUGGGGUCAGGAAUGAGGAUGGUUUCUGGGACUCUGAAUCGCACUCUGAAGUCCUGAGGCCACCAGGAACAGAGAGAGGGUGGGGCCUUCGUGGCCGCCGAUGCCCUCAGUCACUGAAGGCCGAAGUGCUCUUCUGUCCCCACCGCCUCUCCUCACCUCCUUUCUUCCCUCCAGAAGGCUUUGCCAUAGCAACAGGGACCAAGAAUCCCUCUCAGACACCAACCCCUUGGUCUCAGGACCCAGCUGCACCGGGGCAAGUGAGGAAGUCCCGGGGGAGAUCUACCCACUCUUUGUCCAUAGGAAUCAGCUGGGAGCUUUGGGGCUCCUCCCACUGGACAGGAACUGUCCCACCCCCGGACCUUGGCACGUGAUCUUCCCUCACUUAAACACAACUCCCCACCCCCAUGAUGAUCUUUCCCACCUCAGCUUCACCAGCACAGCCCUGGGAAGCCUUCUCCAGCCACCAGGGUAGACACCAGAAGGGACACCCCUCCGCACCAAGAGCUCUUAGUACCGUUUCUAGAACUAAAAGGGCAACAACUGUG